rnacentral:rRNA from 1 species
UACGUAGGAGGCGAGCGUUGUCCGGAGUUACUGGGCGUAAAGGGUGCGCAGGCGGCGGGGUAAGUCUGGUGUGAAAUCUCGGGGCCCAACCCCGAAACUGCACUGGAUACUGCCUUGCUCGAGUACUGGAGAGGAGAUUGGAAUUUACGGUGUAGCAGUGAAAUGCGUAGAUAUCGUAAGGAAGACCAGUGGCGAAGGCGAAUCUCUGGACAGUUACUGACACUGAGGCACGAAGGCCAGGGGAGCAAACGGG